rnacentral:misc_RNA from 1 species
GAUGAAGAACGCAGCGAAAUGCGAUAAGUAGUGUGAAUUGCAGAAUUCAGUGAAUCAUCGAAUCUUUGAACGCACAUUGCGCCCCUUGGUAUUCCAUGGGGCAUGCCUGUUCGAGCGUCAUUUGUACCUUCAAGCUCUGCUUGGUGUUGGGUGUUUGUCUCGCCUCUGCGUGUAGACUCGCCUCAAAACAAUUGGCAGCCGGCGUAUUGAUUUCGGAGCGCAGUACAUCUCGCGCUUUGCACUCAUAACGACGACGUCCAAAAGUACAUUUUUACACUCUUGACCUCGGAUCAGGUAGGGAUACCCGCUGAACUUAAGCAUAACAAUAAGCGGAGGA